AAACUAAUUGAAUCCAUAUGAUAUAAGCCCAAAAUAAACUAAUUGAACCUAUAUGAUAUUAGCCCAAAUGAAUUAAAGGCUAAUACCUUAAAAGAUGAGGUGGAUUAGGAUUAGGUCAAAAUACUCCAUCCUUGCUUGAACUCUAUUGCCCAUUGCGUCCUCAGAGGGUCGGUGCAAUCAACCUCCAGCGACGCAUCCCAUGUCGGACCUAGCAAUGCGCCACUAAACUCCUCCUACGCUCCAAUGGAAUUGAAGUAGGUUCCUUCAUCGAUGCUUGAAAAUCACCUCAUCCCCAACGUCUCCAUUUCAUCCGUUGACCAUGGUCAUCCGCAAAUCCCCAUUCCCUCCAUCUGGAACGCUUCUUGGGUGUAGCCAUGGAGAUGGAGACAAAGCACAAUUGAAAGCAUGAUUCGAUGGGAUCUAAACUCACUUGCACCUGAGAUUAUGCUGCGGAAAGAAGAAAACGAGAUGAAUUACUUUUCUCUCUCGUCCUUAUUCGGGUUCAGUGCUCACAGGUGGCUCAAGAGAAUAUGCCUCUGUGAGCCUGAUGUCUUCGGCAUCUCUGAAAAUCGAGCUCACCUCACUCAAACACUCUUGAUGUUCCUGCUCCCAUCGAUCGGUUCUCUCGUUUGGACGAUGACAGGGGAAUAACCUUUAAAGAUUUCACAAUUCUCUCCAUUCAACUGCCGAAGGACCCCGUCUACACUUGUCAGAAGGGACCACGAACAACAUCGGGGGCUCGAGAGACCAUCGGAGCUUGCACACCCGCAUACGAAAGCCCUCACUAUGCUACAUUUCUCUUUCUCUCACUAAUUUUUGAAAUUGCAGAUUGAAGAGAAGGGAUCCAUACAUAUUGGAGAGUCACACUAGAUUUAAAUGGCCAAUGGAACGAGUAAAGGAAUGGGACCAGCUCCCUACAUUUGCAUCAACAAUUGCAGGACCAUGAUAGGGAAAACGACAAGCUUCCAUCGACGAAUCAGGAAGAGUGAACAUGGUGUUGAAGGUUAUAGGUUUGGUCCCUAGGUUUCUUGAAGCUUGACGAUUAAAACCCUCUGAUUGUCUUAACAAUUUGAUUUCCGAAUAUUACUGUUUGGCCCUUGGACUAACACAUUCAAAUUAUUAUUAUUAUUAUUAACCUUCGCAGUGAGCUUAAUCAACAAUUCACUUAAAGCUCUUAUUUAACUUGAUCUAAUUCGUCCACUUCACCCGUAAAUGUGUUUUGUGUAAUAACUCGACUAUCUAACCCCAUAAAUUAUCCUUGAAUGAAAUUAUUAUCCAGAUUAUUUUAUAACCCUUAAAUUUGUAUUAGCUAGCUAGAAACUGGGUGUUACAAAAUGAUUCUGGAUCUUUCUCCUUCAUGAACUUAUGUGGGAGGGUCAUUUUUAAUGGGUCGAAUUUCAAUGACUGGAUUUGAAACAUUCACAUGGCCAUUCGAUACGAAGAAAACAAAUAUGUCCUCAACAAAGAGCUAAAGGAGAUUGAUGAAGAAACUGGUACUCCUGAGCAAUUGGCUGAGUAUAGGGCUCAUGAAAAGGAUGCGACAAAGGUAUCGUGCAUCAUGCUAACCACUAUGACUUCUAAGCUUCAAAAGUCCUAUGAGGACUUCUGGCCUUUCGAGAUACACCAGGACUUACCAUCAGAGUGCUCGACAAGAAAGGUAUGAAAUCAUUGUCUCCAUGAUAACAACUAAAAUGAAGGAUGGAGAGAGUCCAUCAUGGCCCACUUGCAAAAGAUGCAGAGAUAUGUGGACCGCUUUAUGAAGUUAAAUGUCAACUUUGAUGAAGAGUUGGUUAUUGACAUUAUCCUACACUCCUUGCCUCCUUGUUAUAAUCAGCUCUGUAUGACUUAUCAUAUGAACAAGGAGGAAGUCACUCUAAACAAGUUCAAGGCCUUCUAAGAACUACUGAAAGUAGUUUAAAAUGCAAGUCUGUGGUAUUCACUCAUACUGCUGCCUCGGUCCUAGAAAUUGGACAUGGGAAGGGAAGAAAAGGAAAGCUCCUACAAAGAAUCACAAGGGAAAGUCUCAUGAUGUAUCCAAUUCUAGUGGGUCCAAAGGUGGUUCUACUACUCCCUUAUCCAAUCCAAAGGAAGCAGAGUUCUUCUAUUGUCAUGAAAAAGGGCACUGGAAACGAAGCUGACCUAAAUACUUGUAGGAAAUCAAGGAUGGGAAGAUAAAGCCCACCUUCACAGGGUCUAAGAUGAAGUAGGGAUGGGGAGCACGGGAAGAUGAACUUGAUCAUGGGGAAUAGGAAAACGUCGCCUGUCACCAAGAUUGGAGUUUAUCCUUUAUUGAUUUGUAAUGGGUUAGGUUUAGAGUUGAAUAAUUGUUGCUACUCGCCAGAUAUGGCGAGAAACAUUAUUUCAUUUCAUGGUUGGUAUAAACCAGGUUUUAGAUUUCUCGUUUAAUAAUGAAAUUGGUUCUAUAAAUGCUUUCUUUAAUAACAAGUUUUAUUUUGAAGCA